rnacentral:rRNA from 1 species
UACGUAGGGAGCAAGCGUUGUCCGGAUUUAUUGGGCGUAAAGAGCUCGUAGGCGGCUUAGAAAGUCAGGUGUUAAACCUCCAGGCUCAACCUGGAGCCGCCACUUGAUACUUCUAUGGCUUGAGUUCGGUAGGGGUAAGCGGAAUUCCUGGUGUAGCGGUGAAAUGCGUAGAGAUCCGGAGGAACACCAAAGGCGAAGGCAGUGUCCUGGGGAGUACCUGACGCUCAGGUGCGAAAGCCAGGGGAGCGAACGGG